GCCCGGGUGGUGGAAUGGCAGACACAAGGGACUUAAAAUCCCUUGGGGAGAAAUCCCCGUGCGGGUUCGACCCCCGCCCCGGGCA
rnacentral:tRNA from 7 species